UACAGAGGUCCCAAGCGUUGUUCGGAUUCACUGGGCGUAAAGGGUGCGUAGGUGGCGGGGUAAGUCUGAUGUGAAAGCUUCGAGCUCAACUCGAAAAUGGCAUUGGAUACUAUUCUGCUGGAGGUUUGGAGGGGGGACUGGAAUUCUCGGUGUAGCAGUGAAAUGCGUAGAUAACGAGAGGAACACCGGUGGCGAAGGCGAGUCCCUGGACAGUUCCUGACACUGAGGCACGAAGGCCAGGGGAGCAAACGGG
rnacentral:rRNA from 1 species